UGUCCAGACUCCUACGGGAGGCAGCAGUGGGGAAUAUUGCACAAUGGGCGAAAGCCUGAUGCAGCAACGCCGCGUGAAGGAAGAAGGGUUUCGGCUCGUAAACUUCUAUCAACAGGGACGAAAGAAAUGACGGUACCCGACUAAGAAGCCCCGGCUAACUACGUGCCAGCAGCCGCGGUAAUACGUAGGGGGCGAGCGUUAUCCGGAUUUACUGGGUGUAAAGGGAGCGUAGACGGCGUCGCAAGUCUGAAGUGAAAGCCCGUGGCUCAACCGCGGAACCGCUUUGGAAACUGCGAGGCUGGAGUGCUGGAGAGGUAAGCGGAAUUCCUGGUGUAGCGGUGAAAUGCGUAGAUAUCAGGAGGAACACCGGUGGCGAAGGCGGCUUACUGGACAGUGACUGACGUUGAGGCUCGAAAGCGUGGGGAGCGAACAGGAUUAGAUACCCGCGUAUAC
rnacentral:rRNA from 1 species